rnacentral:rRNA from 1 species
GAUGAACGCUGGCGGCGUGCCUAAUACAUGCAAGUCGAGCGAAUGGAUUGAGAGCUUGCUCUUAUGAAGUUAGCGGCGGACGGGUGAGUAACACGUGGGUAACCUGCCCAUAAGACUGGGAUAACUCCGGGAAACCGGGGCUAAUACCGGAUAACAUUUUGAACCGCAUGGUUCGAAAUUGAAAGGCGGCUUCGGCUGUCACUUAUGGAUGGACCCGGGUCGCAUUAGCUAGUUGGUGAGGUAACGGCUCACCAAGGCAACGAUGCGUAGCCGACCUGAGAGGGUGAUCGGCCACACUGGGACUGAGACACGGCCCAGACUCCUACGGGAGGCAGCAGUAGGGAACCUUCCGCAAUGGACGAAAGUCUGACGGAGCAACGCCGCGUGAGUGAUGAAGGCUUUCGGGUCGUAAAACUCUGUUGUUAGGGAAGAACAAGUGCUAGUUGAAUAAGCUGGCACCUUGACGGUACCUAACCAGAAAGCCACGGCUAACUACGUGCCAGCCGCCGCGGUAA